GUUCCCAAAGGGGGUGUCGUGCUGGGCAUCUCCUCUGAACCACCUGGCUGAGAGGAAGAGCUGAAUGAAGCUGCCCUCAACAACUGGAAAAAAAAAAAUCUUCUGUCACUACAACAAGGGAAAUUGGGAUUAGAGGAGAAACCCCAAAGUGGGAGAGUGGUGCAGGCCUGGAGCAGGUGCCCAGCGAGGCUGUGGGAUCUCCAUUCCUGAGGAUUUCCAGAGCUCCUGUGGCCACCAGCAGAUUCCACUUUGAGGUUGUGGCCAUGUCUGGAGUAGAAGGAUGACUCAGGUGACUUCCAGCCAUCUUUGACACACUCUCCACGAAAUACUAUUUUCCUACAAACCUCUGUGACUCUCAUGAGUGUUCCCUGAAUUAGCCCAGACGAGGUGCAGCCUCUCCAUCCUCAUCCUCACUCCCAGGGGCAUCUGAAGUGCCCUCAGUGCCAUCUCCCAACCUUUGGGUGUUUUGUGCACAUCCCUUCCUUGUUUCUAUGCUUUAUUUGCUUGGUUGUUUCUCCCUCAGAGUGGAUUUUUCUGGCCAUGUUUUAGGAAAACACGCUCUGGGGGUAUCACAUACAAACAAUUACACUUGAAAACCCCUGAAGAUGGACUGAAAGUGGAUACUUGCAGGGAAUAACAGGGGACUUUGGAUGCACAAGUAGAACUCUAAUAGCUGGCUUGAGUUCAUUGGGGUAAUCUGGCCCUUAUCCCAGCCUUUUUGAAAGAUAAUCAUCGUUCCAAGAGAGGUUUUCAUUGACUGUAGCAUACACUUUAUAUUUCACUGUGUAAUGGAACCUUCCAUACACUCAAGGAAAACAAUUUACAGAGCUAAUUGCUGAACUCUGCAGAUAUAAUCCUUUAAAUGGGUUAUGCUAGAUAAGAGUUUAUGUUAAAAAAGAAGAAAUGUUCUGGAGGAAAAUUAUUGUUUAGGGAACAUUGAUUUGCAUGAAUUAAUGUUUUCACUUGGGCUGAUAGUUAAAAAUGGAUAGUUAAGCUAAGCCACGUUUUAGUGUAACAUAAAUGCUUCAUUAGUUAUGGUGUGAGCUGAAAUCCAUUGUUUGUUUGCUUUUUUAUGUCUCCAAACUUCAGCUGGCGUCGGGUCAAACCGUGCCAAAGAUUCCAUUUUUUUAAUUAAAAAAGAAAAAAAAGCCCAAAAAAGCCCUGCAUGGACUCUGAGAUGGGAGGAUGCCUUGGAGUUCUCAUUGUUACUCACUGAUUUAGUUUAGACAAUCCUCUCCACCCUCCUGUCUCAGCCUACUUCUCAGGGAAAUUAGGGGUGGUGCUAAUGAUCUCACCUGACACAGUUGUCUCCAGAAUUAACUGAUGAAUAUUUGCACAGUACAAUAUUUGUACAGAGGUGGUGCAUCCCUCGUGCUGCAGGAGCAGCCAUCUGUCACACACACACAUCUCUCAGAUUUAAGGGCUGCAAUGAACAUUUUGGGGGCUUGGGAAGUCAAGGAACUUUUGCAGAACUCAGAGAAUUAAUUUAUUUUAUUUUUUUUUUGGUUGCUGUUUUUAUCACUUAUAUUUUAAUUCAGAUUAUAACCCAGGUCUGUACCUGCUGAUGGUUGUUGUGGCUUUAUUGCCCACACAGUCUGGGGUUAUGGCACAAAUAUAUAAGAGUUCAGCACUGUACAGAAGGUGUUAGUAAUGAACUAGACAGAAUGUUUGAGUUUAAUUUAAAUUCAUUUUCUCCCCUGUAGCCGAGUGUUGGUGACAGAUCGAGAGAGAAGGAGUAAAGCCCAGCAUUGUGUUUUUUUCCACAGCCCAGUGGAACAAAGGGGUCUGUGGUGAAAUCCCUGCUGUGAACUGCACACCAAAAGCUGCCAUCCCCAUCCCAGGUGCUCCUUCCCCCUGGCAAACAGCCUAAGGAGGAGCUGUUUAUAGAUCUCCUUCUGGCAGCUGGCUGAGAAGGGAAUGCCACGGCAAAGGAGGGAUUACCGAGUUGUAUCCAGAGGGAACAGCAGUGCUGUGUGUUACACAUAUCACCACUGCAACAGAACCGUGUCUGGGGAAAUCAAGAACUGAGCAGAUCCUGUUUCAGUCCCAGUCAUUUUCAGGGUGGCCCUUCCCAAACAAAGACAAGCAGUCAGGAUACAUUCCUUGAAGAGUUGGGCCUAACAAACAAUAUGGCAGCGCACGGGCGAGAAGAAAUCUUGCAGGAUGCUGCUGCUGCUGAGCUCCCAGGGCACGAUACGUGUGGUUGGGCAGGAUGUGGCUGUUCCUGCAGGGCCACGUGCUCCCUGCCCCGCUGCCUCCAGAGCUCCCUGACUUCUGGGGGGCUCCUCAAUCCCAUUUUGCCUCCAACACGGAAGUUAUCCCGGUUUUUCAAAGAUGCUCAUCCCCUGCAACGUGGAUUUUGAGUGCUGAGAGCUGGACACUUUUAAGAAACCAGCAGCUCUGGGUGUAGGGUGCAGCAGAGCCUGCAGUGCAGCGGGAAGUGAUGCAGAAGUGUGGAUGGCACCGGGAGCUGCUGCGCCUGCUCCUGCUGCUGUUCCUGGCACGCAGGGACUGAGCAGCCUCUGAUGGGCCAAAUGUGAGUCCUCGGAGGCUGCUGUGUCUCCCUCGCCUCCUGACACUCAUUCUGUCUGUCACAUCCCCCUGGAUGCCUGGCUCUGUGCUGUUUAGUCUGCUCUCAGCACCAGUGGAGCAGCUGAGCAGGAGCUGCUGUGACGGGCUCGGGUCGAGGUGCCCAGGCCUGUUAUUGCUUUGACAGCAACACCUAAAUAAAUGUCUUGGCAUCCUGGAGUCACCCUGCGAGGAGAGACUCCCUGUCCUCAGUCUGAGUGCAUCAGGCAGGCAGGAGAGGGAGCAGGGAUGGAGAGGUUUGCCCGAGCCAGGGAGCACGUGGAGCAGCAGGGCUGGAACAGGGGCAGGGCUUUGGAUCCUCCCCACUGUCAGCACAGCUCAUCUGGGAUUCCUCUGCCUGCUGCUGAGCCAGCUCCUGCCUCUCCCUGGGCAGGGAACAGUGCCUUGCACCCACCAACCAGCUGGAGGGAAUAUUUCGGUGUCCCACCUUUGCAGUGCCUAAGACAUGUAUUUAUUUAAUGCGAGAAAUAAACCUUCAUGUGUUAAUUAAUUUAGUACUAGAAAACCAAGGAAACGUAUCUUUGUUUUAUCUUUUAAAUAAUUCCACCCUCUCUUUAAAAAGAAAUCAGUGCUGGUGAGAAGGGUGAAGUCUGACAAGAGGUCAGGGGAUGUUUAGGAAUUACUGUGCUUUGAGGUUCUUCAGGUCCCUGUAGUCUUUCAGGGCUCUUUACAAACAUUAAUUAAGGCUCAGAGGCCCAACUCCUUUCUUAGGUGCCAUGUUAUCAAUUUGUGUUGUUUUUUCUGUAGGGAAGAACUGAAAAUAGUCCACAGUGAAUUCCUGGAGGAGAUGGGAAAAGAUCUGUGGACUGCAGGCCCCCAAUCUGUGAUUUAGAGUCUCUCCUUUACAGGUGACCCCAGCACUCCUUUCCUAUUGAAAUACAGUUCAUUCUAGUGCUGCUUUUAGUCUCAUGGAUAUCUAACUUUAAUUUAAUUUUCUACUUUUCCUGCCAGCUCAGAUUCCCAAAAUGUCCCCAACCUUUCUGCGUGUUUCUGAAGUUGAAUUUGGGUUCAGCAGUUUGGGCUCUAAUUGAACAGCCUCAACAGGGCAUCAGAUGGGGAUGACAAAAGCACUCUGGACACAGCAGCUUUCUUCCAAGGACCUCAGUCCCUCCCAGGACACGGUGAGCAUUGUUGUGCUGGUUCUGUAUUAUGGGCAAGCAAGGUAAGAAGUGAUUUUAUCACUGACUUGAUGUGGAAUUGGCCAGUAGUCUACAAAACAGUCAAGUUUAAAUUAGAAGCUUUUGGUUGUCGAGCUCCUCAUUUUGUAGAAUGAUGUUCUGGAAAUAUCCAAGUCAUGAUGCCUUUGCCCAGUUUUGCUUUCCAUGGCUGUGCCCCAUACUGUGAAUUUGUGCCAUUCCUCACAUCACUAGAACCCUUUGUUUGUAUUAGUAAAUGCUUUUUACUCCUCUGAAGACAUUUUAUUAAUUUGUAAACUAUUCCCAUGUAUUCUGUCCCUAUGGCUGAGCUAUAAGUGUUAUUUUGGAGAUAUUUCCUAAGUAAUCUCUGUGUAGUUUGCCCAGAGUGAAGUUAUUGACUUGUCUCAGAAAGGCCUUAAGGUUUUAUAGUUAAUGCUUAAGUCCCUAAAGCUUCCUCCCUGGCUGAACAUUCCUUCUCCUAUGAAUUGCUAAUUCCAAUUGAUCUGAGAAAAAAAAAAGAAAGAAAUAGUUUGUAUUUUCUCUACUUUCUGCUCUAACUGUGCACCUACCAAGGUCUCUUCUUGCUUUGAUCCCACCUCUGUGAUUAAAUUCAUUCUUCCUUUCUGUUUUCCAGCUUCUCUCUGCAAACUUCCUCUCACUCCAUUUCUGCAAGAACUUUUGCUGCAAACCAGGUCCCUGAGAGGAUCACUGAGGGGGAGGCCAAUUUAUUUCUAUUUAUUUAUAAAUGAGCUGCAGAGACUUGGCCCCUUUUUAAACAUAAGAACAAUUUUCGGGCCUCUUUCAGUUGUGGUUAUUUCACUCAAAAGAAAAAAAAAAACAACCCCAAGCACAGAACAAUAGAGAAAUAUGAGGAGUUGUGGAAACCCCUCAAACUUUCUCUGUUUAGAUUUUACAUUCCUGGUGGUCACAGGGCCAGGUGAUGGUGGCAGUUGUGUUUUCUUCUGGAGUGCCUGGCUUGGAUGAUCCCAAAGCACCAAGCUGAGUUCAUUGCUGUGAUCAAACUAGAAUGAUACCUCUGGUUUUUUUUUUGUUGUUUUUUUUUUGGCCCUCAAGGUUUUGGAAUUUGAGCCUUUGAAAAACAGGGUUACUGGACUCUAGUAAAUGAAGUGUCUGGAUGUCAGUGAUGAUUCAUAAAAGCAAUUAAAAAAAGGAAAGUGCUUUUCCUCUGAGCGUAAUGUCUUGGUUUGAAGAUGCCCUAAAAGUGAGUGUGUGCUGCUCUGUUUCCAGCAGAACACUUCUUAUCCUGUGGUUCUGCUGAUCUAAACCAAAUUUUUUUCACACAGUCACAGAACAGUUGGGGUUGGAAGGGACCUCUGGGGUCACUCAGUCCAACCCCUCUGCCCAGGCAGGGUCACCUGGAGCAGGUGACACAGGAACGUGUCCAGGUGGGGUUGGGAUGUCUCCAGAGAGGGAGACUCCAUGCCCUCCCUGGGCAGCUGUUCCAGUGCUCUGCCACCCUAAAUUCUUCCCCAUGUUGGGCUGGAACUUGUUAUGUUUUCCUUUAGGGCCGUUGCUCCUCAUCCUGUUGUUGGGAACCCCCAAAAAGAGUCUGGCACCAUCCUCUUGGCACCCACCUUGGAGAGAUUCAUAUGUAUUUGACAGCUGAAUCUUUCUUAUUUGGUUUCUAUUUCAAUAUAGUUCACAUUUCUUCCUUCUUAAAUUUGAGGAAAAAACCCAACUAAGGAUGUAAUAUUUUCCAUGGGAGAAAUGUGGUUGUUGCAACAUAAAUGUUGGAGGCGACAGAGGAUUGAAAUUCAUCAAAUAGGAUUUUUCUUUUCCCCCCCCAGUGCUACUCUCUGGCAUUUCUAGGCUGCCCCAAACACGAGACACCUCAUUUGUGCAGCUUUAAAUUGAUUUUCAGGGAGCAAGAGUGAACUCUGUUAAAACAGGAUGAAGGUAAUGGUUGUAUACAAAGAUCCAUCAGCGUGGCCACGUUACCCUAAGCAGGAAGCAGACCCCGAGCCAUGCCCUACAAGCUUCCUACAUGGCUUUUCAAGCCAUCCCAACCAACCUGUUACCUGUUAGGGAUGGUUGUUAGGCUGUUUUAGGGCAGGCACUUCCAGUCUUACUUCCUUCUCCAAGUGGAUGCCUCGUGCUUCUCUUGAACAUAUUGAAGUCGGGGCUUGCAUUUGCUUUGCCCUCACAUCCUGGUCAUCCCUGGGAUACAUGCUAAGGGAAGCAAAAUAGUUUACUGAUUUAUCAUGGAUCAUUAGAUGGAGUAACUAUUCUUAAAACAUCACCAGUAUGGAUACAAUAAUUAGAGAUGUGCUUUUGUUAACACUGCCAGCCUCUACCCUCUUGUACAGUACCCUUGGGUACUAAAUAAUUACCCACUUUGUGUGGUUAUCUAGCUCACUAAUUACCCACAAAAAUUGGGGUCAGGUGUUAACUGCUUGAAAUAAGUAUCCUCCGAAGGCUUGGUAAAAUUGUAUAAAGAAAUUAUGUGUUUGCUACAAAACUUUGAAAAAAAAAUCAAACAUUUUUUGGGGGAAGGAAGAUAAGGGAAGUGGAAGGAGACAAUGGAUGCAGAAUGUUCUGUGUGAUGGCAAAAUCUUGCUGUGCUGGUGAGGGAAUCUAAAGGGAGUGAAAGGAUGGUUGGCAGAUACAGUCUCUAAUCCAGUCUACUUUUCCCAAAGAUUAGAUCCUUCAGUACACAGGGUUGGAUUCUUCCCCUAUCUAGGCUGAUGCCAAUCAGGAUUAUGCUGGUAUAAAUAAGAAAAUUUGUAUCUGUGGAUUCCCAGACUGACUUUGCUGCAUAAUCCCACCUCUUCCAUCACCCAGGGACUUCUGCAUUGCACCCAAUAAUUUAAUUAUGUAUUGUAUAUUUAUUUCCACGUGUUUAUUUUAGCUGUGUGCAGGCAGAAUUUCACUCUGAGGCUGCUGCUCAUAAAAUGCAGUUUGCUUUGAGCAAUAAUUUGAUUCCUGUGCUCAGGGAGUUACCCCAGUGAGUCAAAGAUUUCUAGAUAGCCCCACCCUCCCCAACUUCCCGAACGCUUACACUGCAGCCACUUUCCCUUUGCCAGACCCACACAAGGUGUCUAACCAGCCAAAAUCCCAAGGGGCAAUCCCAGUCUCCUGCCUCCCCUGUUUCAGCCCCAGAAAACUAGGAAAUAAAGCCCCAGAAGCCCUAAAGCCCUUGAAACACCCGGCACGUGUAGCAGAGGGAUGUUUAAUAGCCCGUCUUCCUAACCUGGUUUCUUGCAUAGGUGCUCUCUGUCUUCGGUACAAAGGAAACAGAUUCCAGUGGGAGCUGAGAAGGUGUUCCUAAAAAUCCUUUGGACCCAUCCCAGGGUCUUUGCGUGCCCGGAUACCUUUAAUUGCUCGGCGUCUCUGCAGUGCACAGCGCAACAAAGAAACUGCCUUUAUUUAUUGCUGGAUUUUGUGGUAGGUGCUUCGCAGCCAGAAGCACCUUCUGUUCCUACACAAGCACCUUUUGGAGCCUGUGUGGAUUCAGGGAUUAGAAAUCACCAGCCUGAACGCUUGGGCAAACAGGGGGGGGUCUCAGGAAGGCCCCCAGGACGAGGUGUGUGCUCGCCCUCGGGGGUACCUGCGCCCCGCAUUGUGUGGAGCAUCCCUGGAAAACGCAGGGAUCAGCCUCCUAAGGCACAAUGCAGAUUUAGUCGUCAUCUUUGUCUCCCCCCCCCCCCCGCCUCCCCGCUCUGCUCCCCGCUGAUGUUAACUGUCUGUAUUAUUAUUUAUUGUUAUCAGGGGAUUUGGUUUGAUCAAUGAAGUGUAUAUGCGGCUGACGGACAUUGGGAGAGGAAAUGCUUGGAGAAUGAGUAACAUGUCUGCAGUGGAGGGUGUGUGUGAGGGAGAGGGAGAGCGAGCAUCGCUACUAGAAACAUUGACUGAUGAGUUCAUUUUAAAAUCCAAGGGCAUAUAGCUGGUAAAUUAGCACAUAUUGCAAAUAUAGUCUGGUGCGAGAGGCAGCAGUGCUGCCAUUGAGCGGAGGGGUGGGUGUGGAGGGGAAGGGGGGGGGUCGAGGAGAGGAGGUUGUCAGCUCUAAAGUCAUCACGGGCAUGAGCCAGGCAGUCUGCCCUGCCUCACUGCAGACGUGGGGCGUGCGAUUUCCACGGGCGGCUGCGGCGCGGCGGAGGGGGGGAGCGGGGGGCACCCGGGAGAGCAGCAGCGCUGGAUUUUAUUGUUUUAAAAUCCAGAGCCAGCCGGAGGGACGCAAGGCGAAGGGCUGCAGCCCCUCCGCUUCCCCCUCUCCUUCCCCCCUCCGGCCCCCGGCACCCCCUUAGGAAGGCGGCGUGGGGCGGGAGCGGCUGCCCGGAGGGUCCCGGGGCUGGUACCCGGCGGGGAUGCGGCGGGGACGGGGAUGCGCCGGCGGGUUUCUCCCGGGAUCUUAAGAGAUUAUUGGGGAGGGGUGACCGGGAAUGGUGUGUGCGAGCGUGUGAGUGAGUGUGUGUGUGUGCGGGGCUGGCGGCGGGGGGAGCCGAGUCCUUAUUCUGUUAAAGAUUUAAGUAGGCAUGCAAGGAAUCUCUAGGAUAGUUGGCAAAGGGCGAGGGUGGGGAGGGGGGGGAAGGAUCCAAAAGAGUCUGUAACCAGACACUGAAGCUUUCCAGGAGUGAGAGUGUGUGAGAGAGACGGAGACAGAGCGAGAGGAAGAGAGGGGGCAGUGUGGUCUAGUACAUUUUCAUCUGGUCGUUGAUUUGAGCCUGAUGCUUGCUGUCCCUCAACAGCCUCCCUUGCCUGGAUUUUUUCUUUCCCCCUCUCCUCUCCUUUCCCUUCUACUUCAUCGAAGCCUAGGGGAGCCAGGAAAGAUUAAAUGUGCUUUCGAAAAGGCAGCCACUUCAUGCAGCUAUGUCUGCUCCCCCCCCCCCCACUCCCAGCCACCCCCCCCCACUCCCCCUUUUUGAAAUAAAAAAAAAAAAAAGGAGAGGGGGAGACAGAGAGGGGGAGAAGGAAGGAGGAGGAAGAGGAGGACUAUAGUUUAAUGAUGUCGGGACUGGCUGAUGCAGAAGGAGAAAAAAAAAAAGGAAAAAAAACCCUAAAAAAAAUAUAUAGGAAAAAAAAAAAGAAAAUAUUUGAGCUCCUGGACGAGGAAGGACUUUGGUGAAUGGGCUCAGACUCCUGAGGUGAGAAAAGGACGGAGUGAAUGAUGAUGAUGAUGAUGAUGAUGGUUCCGUAAUGGUGCCUGUUACCGCUGCCCCCGGCCGGGCGGCGGCGGGGCCGGGGCCGGGGGGGACCUGCCUUCGGCAGCGCCGGAUAUUUUGCAUUUUUAACCUCGGGCCCUCCGGUACGUUUCGGCUUCUUCUCCCCGCUUAUGCCGCUGGGCCUAAAGCGGUUCCAGAGCUGGGUGGAGGGUGCGGAUCCGUAUUAUUUAUUUGGGCGGGGGGGUGGGGGUGGAAGGGGGGGGGGAAAGAGAGGGAGGAAUGGGAGGGAGGGAAGGGGAGAGAAGAGCGGAGGGAAGGAGGUGGCAAGCUGGGGACGAAAUCCUGCUCUGGGUUAUGGCCGGCGUAAAUUUCCAUUGGCUGGGGGUGCACAAGGUGCUCGGAGAGAGGAGUCGGUGCAGGAUGGAGUCCCUUUGUGUGUGUGUGUGUGUGUGUGUGUGUGCGCGGGGCUGCGGACCCUCCUCUCCCGGCGAAGCGGGUUUUUCUCCAGGUUUUCCUUUGAAGCCCCGGCCGGCGGCUGGCAGGGGAGGGCGGCCGGGGCUGCGGCGCUGCUGCCCGCGCCCUUCCUCCCUCCCUCCCUCCCUCCUCCUCCUCCUCCUCCCCGCUGACAGUCUGGGGCUCGCUCCGGCACCGGGCUGGCCCCGGCUCCCGCAGCCCCCCAGCCCCCGUCUCUUCAUCAUAAUAAUAAUAACAACAGCAGCAGCGGCAGCAGCAGCGUUGGUGGGAGCGCGGAGGGCGGCAGGCGAGAGAGAGGAGAGAGCUGCGGAGGAAUUUGGUUCCUUUUCCUUCCCCCCCCCCCCAACCUCCCACCCCGCCACCCGCUUUUUUUUUUAUUAUUAUUUUCCCCCCCUCUUUUCCUUGAUAUAUCCUCCCCCCUCCUUUUUUUUUUUUUCCCAUAUAUAUAUAUUAAAAAAAAAAAAAAAGAAAGAGAGAGAGAGAGAGAGAGAUGUUUUAAAGCUGCCAGCGGCUCGCCCAGCUGCGCACAGCCGCCCUCCCUCGCUCCCUCCCCCGGCCGCGCACACACCGCACGCUCCGCACCCGCUCGGGUGUCAAACCCCGCCGGGCACCGACCCCGCUGCGGGCACUGCCCCAUUCCCACCCCCCCCGCACCGCCCCGCACCGCCGGGCCGGGUCCCCCCUUUUGCUCUUCGGCGCUGGAGGAUCGGAGCCUCUUCCCCCAGCUUCCAAAUGGUGAGUUUUUCUACCUGAUUUUUUUUGUGGCGACUCGGGUUUUCUCCUUUUUUUUUUUUUUUUUUUUUCCCUUUUUUUUUUUCCUCCUCUCCAUCCCCGGGGCUGGCGGAGGGGGCGGGGAGGCAGCGCCUUUGCUGCUGCUUUGCACGCUUUGUGCCAGGGGCCGGGAGCGAGCCUGCAGAUUCCUGCUCUUAUUUCUGCAUUCCUUCUCGUUGAAACAAUGAAAAUAAUUCCGUCACUGCCCCAAACUUCCUCUUCGUUAUUUAAAUGCGGAGGCUUUUUCGUGUAUUUGUCGCAAGCGACCUUGUUGGGAGCUGUAAGGAACCUGCCGCGCCAUGUCAUGUUUUGGUUUUUUUCGUAGAAACGAUUAAAAACGGAAUGUAUUCUCUCAACAGAGGGUCCUUAGAGAAGCUCUUUCCUUCCACCUGUGUGUCCUGUUUUGUAAUCUUGAGCCAUGAAUUGAACUUGCCUGCUAUUCUUUUCCUCUUUCUCCUUUUUAUCCUUUAUUUUUAAAAAUUACUGUUAUUUUUUUUUUGACCCCCCGCUUUUCUUUUUUAUUACCUUUCAAAUUUUAUUUUUGCAAGGAGUAGUUUGUGGCGCCCCUCUCAAUCCCUGAGACCCUAACUUGUGAUGUUUAGCUUUUAAAUCCACGGGUUAGGCUCUUGGGAGCUGUGAGUUGUGCUUUGACAUCUUUAUUUUAUUUUAUAAAUAUAUCCUGUCUCUCCGUGUAUGUGUGCGUGCGCGCGUGUGUGUAUAUAUAGAGUCGUAUACACACACAUACAAUCGUGUUUAUAGACCUUUUAAGGGAAAAAUAAGUGUAUCUCUCCUCCUUAGCCUCGAUCUGCUGAUAGCAGGGCAGUGGUUAUGGCCAUUUACUGUAAAAAAAAAUCAAAUUAAAGCCAGCGUUUGUGUGACAGAGAUUUUUUUUAUGUGUGUGUGUGUGUGUGUGUGUUCACUAGAUAAUUUUGCAGCUGAUACAGAUAUGGGGAUGUGUGUGUGUGUACACAUACAGUGAUUAUUAUAUAUGCGUGUGUAGAUAAGAUAGACAUGAUAUGGAUCAUGUAAAUACAGCUAUUGAGGUGUGGGGAGAGAUACACAUAUGGAUGCUACAUGUGUAUGAAUAUGUAUGUAGGUAAAUAAACCCCUCUAUAUAUAUAUAUUUACAUAUAUAGGUGUAUUAAUACUGUGUUUUCAUGUGGAGGGAGAACUGCAGGCCACUGCAUAGAGCAUCUCUCUCAUUUUUUAUUUUUGUUUUUGACUUCCCCCCCUUCUUGAGAGCAACACAGAGUACCCUGAGAGCGUAACAGUAACAGCUCGGUACAUUGGUGCUUGACCUCAGCUGAAAUCCCAGCAUGCCUCAUGCUUCCAAGUUUAAAACUGAACGAUUAAUCUUGGAAAUGUGCUCUAUGGACACACGGGGGGAAAAAAAAAUUAAAGGAGUAAAAAACAUAAAAAGCGAAAAAUAAUAAUAAUAGUAAUAAUAAUAAUAAUAAUAAAUAAAGCCAGGAGGCGGGGUGGAUCUUAGAGGUGAAGAAUAAACUACAAGAAUAAAAUGGUUGCAUGUCCUAAUGGUUGGUUGCUGCUGAAAAGAAAUGCUGAAGUUUUGUUUGAGUCCUUUUCUAGAACUUCGAGCUCUCCUCCUUUUCCAGGCAAAAUGAUGUGUAAAUGACGAAUCAGAAAUGUUCGAAAUGUUUCCUGCUGCUGUUUUUCCUUUAUUAGAUUUUUUUUUUUAUGUUGCUGUAAAAUUAAUUAUGGUUGGAACUGUAUUUCUUAUCUCUGUUCUGCAAGGCAAUUUAUAAUGGAGUUACUGUACCUUGUUAUGGCACCGAAA